UACAGGGGGGGCAAGCGUUGUUCGGAAUUACUGGGCGUAAAGGGCGCGUAGGCGGCCUGCUAAGUCGAACGUGAAAUCCCUGGGCUCAACCCAGGAACUGCGUCCGAUACUGGUUGGCUUGAAUCCGGGAGAGGGAUGUGGAAUUCCAGGUGUAGCGGUGAAAUGCGUAGAUAUCUGGAGGAACACCGGUGGCGAAGGCGACAUCCUGGACCGGCAUUGACGCUGAGGCGCGAAAGCCAGGGGAGCAAAGCGGG
rnacentral:rRNA from 1 species